CCUACGGGUGGCAGCAGUGGGGAAUAUUGCGCAAUGGGCGAAAGCCUGACGCAGCGACGCCGCGUGAGUGAUGAAGGUCUUCGGAUCGUAAACCUCUGUCAGCAGGGAAGAACGGUCACUUUGCUAAUCAGCAGUGAAUUGAUGGUACCUGCAAAGGAAGCACCGGCUAACUCCGUGCCAGCAGCCGCGGCAAUACGGAGGGUGCGAGCGUUAAUCGGAAUUACUGGGCGUAAAGCGCGCGUAGGCGGUAUGGCAAGUCAAGGGUGAAAUCCCCGCGCUCAACGUGGGAACUGCCUUUGAAACUGGCAGACUGGAGUGUGUGAGAGGAUAGUGGAAUUCCAGGUGUAGGGGUGAAAUCCGUAGAUAUCUGGAGGAACAUCAGUGGCGAAGGCGACUAUCUGGCACAUAACUGACGCUGAGGAGCGAAAGCGUGGGGAGCAAACAGGAUUAGAUACCCGUGUAGUC
rnacentral:rRNA from 1 species